AAGAGCCCAAUGCGAUAAAAUGCAUGUUGGGUUCUUGGAAGAGUUCAAAUUAUUUUGAUAAUAAGAACUUUGAUCUAUUCUAC
rnacentral:ncRNA from 1 species